UACGGAGGAUCCGAAGCGUUAUCCGGAAUCACUGGGCGUAAAGGGCGCGUAGGCGGCCUGGCAAGUCGAUGGUGAAAGCCCGAGGCUCAACUUCGGGUCGGCCACUGAUACUGCUAGGGCUUGAGUCGACUAGAGGCAGAUGGAAUUCCGGGUGUAGCGGUGGAAUGCGUAGAGAUCCGGAAGAACACCGGUGGCGAAGGCGGUCUGCUGGGGUCGGAACUGACGCUGAGGCGCGACAGCGGUGGG
rnacentral:rRNA from 1 species